GUACUCGAUUCGCUGGUACAUAAACUAAAAUUGGAACUAUACAGAGAAGAUUAGCAUUGCCCCUGCGCAAGGAUGACAAUUGCAAAAAAAAGGCGCGCAGGGACCUC